rnacentral:rRNA from 1 species
UUAGUUAACGAAGUGGUUGAUGCCAUGCUUCCAAGAAAAGCUUCUAAGCUUCAGGUAACCAGGAACCGUACCCCAAACCGACACAGGUGGUUGGGUAGAGAAUACCAAGGCGCUUGAGAGAACUCGGGUGAAGGAACUAGGCAAAAUGGCACCGUAACUUCGGGAGAAGGUGCGCCGGUGAGGGUGAAGGACUUGCUCCGUAAGCUCAUGCCGGUCGAACAUACCAGGCCGCUGCGACUGUUUAUUAAAAACACAGCACUCUGCAAACACGAAAGUGGACGUAUAGGGUGUGACGCCUGCCCGGUGCCGGAAGGUUAAUUGAUGGGGUUAGCUAACGCGAAGCUCUUGAUCGAAGCCCCGGUAAACGGCGGCCGUAACAAUAACGGUCCUAAGGUAGCGAAAUUCCUUGUCGGGUAAGUUCCGACCUGCACGAAUGGCGUAACGAUGGCGGCGCUUUCUCCACCCGAGACUCAGUGAAAUUGAAAUCGCUGUGAAGAUGCAGUGUAUCCGCGGCUAGACGGAAAGACCCCGUGAACCUUUACUAUAGCUUUGCACUGGACUUUGAAUUUGCUUGUGUAGGAUAGGUGGGAGGCUUUGAAGUGUGGACGCCAGUCUGCAUGGAGCCAACCUUGAAAUACCACCCUGGCAACUUUGAGGUUCUAACUCAGGUCCGUUAUCCGGAUCGAGGACAGUGUAUGGUGGGUAGUUUGACUGGGGCGGUCUCCUCCUAAAGAGUAACGGAGGAGUACGAAGGUGCGCUCAGACCGGUCGGAAAUCGGUCGUAGAGUAUAAAGGCAAAAGCGCGCUUGACUGCGAGACAGACACGUCGAGCAGGUACGAAAGUAGGUCUUAGUGAUCCGGUGGUUCUGUAUGGAAGGGCCAUCGCUCAACGGAUAAAAGGUACUCCGGGGAUAACAGGCUGAUACCGCCCAAGAGUCCAUAUCGACGGCGGUGUUUGGCACCUCGAUGUCGGCUCAUCACAUCCUGGGGCUGAAGCCGGUCCCAAGGGUAUGGCUGUUCGCCAUUUAAAGUGGUACGCGAGCUGGGUUUAGAACGUCGUGAGACAGUUCGGUCCCUAUCUGCCGUGGACGUUUGAGAUUUGAGAGGGGCUGCUCCUAGUACGAGAGGACCGGAGUGGACGAACCUCUGGUGUUCCGGUUGUCACGCCAGUGGCAUUGCCGGGUAGCUAUGUUCGGAAUAGAUAACCGCUGAAAGCAUCUAAGCGGGAAACUAGCCUCAAGAUGAGAUCUCACUGGAACCUUGAGUUCCCUGAAGGGCCGUCGAAGACUACGACGUUGAUAGGUUGGGUGUGUAAGCGCUGUGAGGCGUUGAGCUAACCAAUACUAAUUGCCCGUGAGGCUUGACUAA